CGUCGACUCAUUCUCCACCUUCCAAUUCCCCGUCUCCUCCCUCUACGUCUCCUUCUACUCCGGCUCCUUCGUCGCGGUCCAGCCCCUCGUCGCCGUCGCCUUCUGGUACUAGGAAUUCGCCACCAGCUCCUAGAAGCGGAGGAAGCUCUUCGACCCCAUCUCCGCUGUCUGAUGGUGGAUCGUCGGGGAUAUUGACAGGGUGGUGGUGGGAAUAGCCAUUGGGGGAGUGUUGAUACUUGCAGUGCUGAGUUUGAUGUUCAUAUGUUGCAGAAGGAAAAAGGAGAAGAGAUCAUGAACAUUACUAUCCUCACCACCACCACAACCACCUUCUGGGCCUAAAGCUAAUCCAUAUGGUGGCCAAGUGCAACAAUGGCAGUAUUAUGCUCCACCGCCUUCUGAUCAUGUUGUUACAAUUCCUCCGAAGCCCUCUCCUCCUCCUCCCGGGGCGUCACGCCCUCCACUUUCUCCUUCUCGGGUUCCAACACCUCAACCCCCAUCCCCACCUCUGCCUUACAUGAGCAGCAGUGGAGCUUCAUCCAAUUACUCGGGGUCUUCGAAUCCACUGCCACCACCUUCACCGGAUAUGGCCUUAGGUUUCUCGAAGAGCACAUUCACUUA